AGACACCGUCUCCCCCCACGCUUUAUGGCCUGGUCUCCUCCUGUCUGGAGCACAACACCGGUUCUGUGAUCUUUGGUUGUUUGGUGAUGGACUAUUCCCCUGACGUCACCAAGUUAACCUGGAAGAAAGGUGGGGAGCUAAUCACGACUGGAUUGAAGACUUACCCAUCAGUGAGAAACAAGAAGGGAACCUACACCCUGAGCAGCCAGUUAACCCUGUCCGGGUCAGCGGUAGAUUGCUCCAGCAAAAUCUCUUGUGAGGUUCAACACAGCGGGACACACAAGAGCAAAGUAAUGCCAUGUCCAGGUACAGGUCCUCUCCGACCAACCCUUCUCCUAACUGUGAGCUCCAGUGAAGAAAUCGCAAGCAGCAAGUUUGCAAAAGUCGUCUGUUCAAUCAUCGAGUUCCAUCCGAAGUCCAUCUCCGUGAGUUGGUUGAAAAAUGGCCGACCCUUGGAUUCUGGCUUCUUCACGUCUCCCGUGUGUGAGGCGGACGGGAACUUCUCGGUGACGAGUCGGCUGAUGGUCCCUUAUGGUGAAUGGAGUAAUCUGAAGAUUGGCUGUUUGUAUCAGAAAGGGGCAUUUUUCAUUGACUUUGAUUUUUGUUUCAUAGAAGAUACCGAAUGCCACCCUAACACCGUUAAAAUCCUCCCACCGCCAGUAGAACAGGUCUUACUGGAGGCGACGGUGACAUUAACCUGCGUUGUGUCCAAUCUUCCUUCUGGAGUCAAUGUCACCUGGAGACAAGAAAAGAAGCCUCUGAAAUCGGAGAUUGCUGAGCAGCCUGGACAGAAUCCCGACAGCGUGAUCAGCAAAUUAGACAUUUCUACUGAAGCCUGGCUGAGUGGCGUUACUUUUGAAUGUGUGGUGUACCAUCAGAAUCUACCGACUCCGCUGAGAGACUCCAUCCACAAGGAGAAAGUGAUUAAUCCGCUGGAGCAAUCAGUGUCGGUCCUCCUGCCACCAACAGAAGAAAUCUCCGCUCAGAGGUUUCUCUCCCUCAUCUGUUUAGUGAGAGGUUUCUCCCCCCGAGAGAUCUUCGUCAAGUGGACAAACAAUGACAAGCCGGUGAAUCCCAGUAACUACAAGAACACCGAGGUGAUGGCGGAGAGUGACAACACCUCCUUCUUCAUCUACAGCCUGUUAUCCAUUACAGCGGAGGAGUGGGCCAGCGGUGCUUCUUACUCCUGUGUGGUGGGACAUGAAGCGAUUCCAUUGAAGAUCAUCAACGGAACAGUCGAUAAAUCCAGCGGUAAACCGAGUUUUGUAAACAUUUCACUUGCACUGAUGGACACAGUUAAUUCAUGUCAAUAAAAAAUCUCAAAGUUGCAUUUAAUAAUUCAA